CCCAAGGCGAUGGGCGGACUGAAUGCGACCGUACAAUUGCUCUUUGCAGUGUAGAGAAAGCCUUUCAGAU
rnacentral:snoRNA from 1 species